rnacentral:tRNA from 1 species
GGAUUGUGGCUCAGUGGUAGAACACUUGCUUGGCAUGCAUGAGGCACUCGGUUUGAUCCUCAGCACCA